UCCAUCACCAACUCCCAGAGCUUACUCAAACUCGUGUCCAUCGUGUCGGCGAUGCCAUCCAACCAUCUCAUCCUCUGUCAUCCCCUUCUCCCCAGAACUGUACACAACGUCAUCUCCCCGCCUCUUCGCUGGACUCAGAGCUUCUCGCUUGCUGGCCACGGACCAGGAGAACUGGAUUCAGAUGCCGUGAAAAUUAACCUGGUUUUGCCGAGUGUCCCGGUCACCUGCCUCCAUGCACACCUGAGUUCAGGAGCCGCGUCCCUCCACUAGGGGGCGGGCAUCGUAGACGCCCGCUGCACCACCUGGGCUGUCUCGUGUGUUCCGGCCUCAGCCCUGGAGAAGGCAAGAGCUGGUGCCUGCCGGUCUUGAGCGCUCUGCCCGCUGUGUCGAACCAUACGCGAGCCGGGAAGGGAGCUUUCACUCAAGAGCCAGCUGCUGGCUUGAUCAAUGCAGAAGGCGAGCAGAUGAGCGCUGCCAACAACUUAUAGGCUAGGAAUAAACAGAAGAGGAAAAACUCAUCACUGAAGAGAACCUCUUGGGAACGUAAAAUGGGGCCACCUUUGGAAAACAGCCCAGCACUUCCUCACACUGUGAAACCUGGAGUGACCACAGGCCCCAGCUGCUGCAGCCGUGGGGUUCCUCUCUCUGGUCUGGCCCCUGGGCACUGGCUCGUUCCAUCUCUGCUCAGCAGUCAUUCUGUCCACAACACUUUAAUCAGCACUGAAUUAUCCCAUUGGACACAGAACACAGUUGUGGUUCCUUCUGGCUUCAGGACCUGUCGCUGUCCACUGGAAGGUCAUCCGUCCCCCAAGUCAAGGAGACCCUGGCCCAGGCCUCAGCCCAUCCUCCUGGGGGUCAGAGUGUGCCAGCGUCCUCAGCCCUGGGGUCUUUCCAUCGGCCUGUGGCUGCUGGUCCAGCCGCCAAUGCCAAGAGCUAACAACCACAGUGGACGCAAGAAGGUUCCUGCUUCAGUGACCUGACAGCAGCUCCUCUCCCGCGUUCCCCCACCCAUGGACGCCGGGGCCCUGCAGCACGACCACCCAUCGCAGACCACCAGCAAGUGGGCCGAGUGAAGGAUGUCAUUAUCACAGCGAGAGGCUAACUGCUGGGCACCCCAUGACGCCUGAGACCCGUCUCCACGGUGGGAACCCUGCCAGGCGUGUGGCACCCUGGGGUCCCAGGCUCGGGGGCAGGCAGGGAACAGGGUCCAGUUACCCCAGGGAAAGCAGCUGGGGAGGGGCCGCUGGCGUCAGGAAUCCCUGGGCCUCAGACACGACCGCAUGGCUGUGGGGCACUGACCAUUCACAUAACCUCUCUGAGCUUCAGGUGUCCCAACUGCAAACCGGGGUUUCUGCUGCUUGCUUUAAAGAGCUGUUGUGAGCGUUGAGCGAGCAAAUGCCUAGUUAGCAAAUCAAUGUAGGAACGAUGCUGAUCGCACCUGUGUGUGCUGCACGCCAGGCUCCGUGUUGGGCGAUCACACACCCUUGCGCACGCAGACGCACAUGCUCUGGAUGUUCAUUAAGCUCCUGCUCUGUGCAUGGGGUCCCCCUGCUGAUACAAAAGUGUCACCUGCCCUCAUGUAGGUGACAGUCAACUGCAAGAGACAGGAAACAGGCAAACAAAAUAAACAAGGAAAGAGAUGAGCUGUGUAUUUUCAGUAGUGGCAACCACUGCAGAGAAGAAUAAACAUAACAAAUCUGGGUAAGGAGAUGGAGGGCAAUCCACGUGAGGAGGCUCUGUUUUUAGAUUUAGGGGGUCAGGGAAGGCCUCCCGCCAGAAGUAGGUGCUGCCCAGGCCCAGACCUGAUCAGCAGGGAGAAAGCAGCCACCUUGGGCUCUGGAGGCCGGGCCUCCCAUGAGCACCAGCCCCUACUUACCAGCUCUGAUGCAGGUGCUGGGCUUGGAGACCUGCCUGGCCCCCUCUGGCCCUGGGGACAGGACAGCCGGGCCAGCACCUGCUGU